UACAGAGGUCCCAAGCGUUGUUCGGAUUCACUGGGCGUAAAGGGUGCGUAGGUGGCGAAGUAAGUCGGAUGUGAAAUCUCCGAGCUCAACUCGGAAACUGCAUUGGAAACUACUUUGCUUGAGGGUUGGAGGGGGGACUGGAAUACUUGGUGUAGCAGUGAAAUGCGUAGAUAUCAAGUGGAACACCAGUGGCGAAGGCGAGUCCCUGGACAACUCCUGACACUGAGGCACGAAAGCUAGGGGAGCAAACAGGAUUAGAUACCCUGGUAGUCCUAGCCGUAAACGGUGCACGUUUGCUGUAAAAGGAAUCGACCCCUUUUGUGGCGAAGCUAACGCGUUAAACGUGCCGCCUGGGAAGUACGGUCGCAAGAUUAAA
rnacentral:rRNA from 1 species